UCUACUGAGUUUAAGCAUAUCAAUAAGUGGAGGAAAAUAAACUUACAAGGAUUUCCUUAGUAACGGCGAGUGAACCGGGAAUAGCCCAGCCUUAGAAUUGGGCGGAUCCAUCAUCCGAAUUGUAGUUUGGAGAAGCGUCCUCAAUGGCAGACUAGACCUAAGUCCCCUGGAAGGGGGCACCAGAGAGGGUAAGAUCCCCAUUAUGCCCGGACCCUAUUACACCAAGAGGCACUGUCUACAAGUUGGGUUGUUUAGGAAUGCAACCCAAAUUAGGUGGUGAAUUCUGUCCAAGGCUAAAAAAGGGCGACUGACCGAUAGCAAACAAGUACCACAAGGGAAAGAUGAAAAGGACUUUGAAAAGAGAGUCAAAGAGUGAUUGAAAUUAUUGGAAGGAAAGUGGAUGGGGCCGGCGAUGCACCCCGGUCAGAUGUGGAAUAGAGACGAGCCAUUUUGUCGAUCGACUUGGGGCAUGGACCAGCGUGGAUUGGGGGGCGUCCAAAGCCUGGGCUCUCGGUAUGCUCGUGGAACGCGUAUCCUCGAUUGUGGAAGGCAGCGCGCGCCUUUGACAUGCUUUGGUAUCUGCGAGCUAUGGACGCUUGCCUGUAGGCUCCCUAUUCGACCCGUCUUGAAAACAG
rnacentral:ncRNA from 1 species